rnacentral:rRNA from 1 species
ACGAUGGAUAGGGGUUCUGAGAGGAAGGUCCCCCACAUUGGAACUGAGACACGGUCCAAACUCCUACGGGAGGCAGCAGUGAGGAAUAUUGGUCAAUGGGCGAGAGCCUGAACCAGCCAAGUAGCGUGAAGGAUGAAGGUUCUAUGGAUUGUAAACUUCUUUUAUAAGGGAAUAAAGUGCUUUACGUGUAGAGUUUUGUAUGUACCUUAUGAAUAAGCAUCGGCUAACUCCGUGCCAGCAGCCGCGGUAAUACGGAGGAUGCGAGCGUUAUCCGGAUUUAUUGGGUUUAAAGGGAGCGUAGACGGGAUGUUAAGUCAGCUGUGAAAGUUUGGGGCUCAACCUUAAAAUUGCAGUUGAAACUGGCGUUCUUGAGUGCGGUAGAGGCAGGCGGAAUUCGUGGUGUAGCGGUGAAAUGCUUAGAUAUCACGAAGAACUCCAAUUGCGAAGGCAGCUUGCUGGAGCGUAACUGACGUUGAUGCUCGAAAGUGUGGGUAUCAAACAGGAUUAGAUACCCUGGUAGUCCACACGGUAAACGAUGGAUACUCGCUGUUGGCGAUAUACAGUCAGCGGCCAAGCGAAAGCAUUAAGUAUCCCACCUGGGGAGUACGCCGGCAACGGUGAAACUCAAAGGAAUUGACGGGGGCCCGCACAAGCGGAGGAACAUGUGGUUUAAUUCGAUGAUACGCGAGGAACCUUACCCGGGCUUAAAUUAUGCAUGAAUGAUCUGGAGACAGGUCAGCCGCAAGGCAUGUAUGAAGGUGCUGCAUGGUUGUCGUCAGCUCGUGCCGUGAGGUGUCGGCUUAAGUGCCAUAACGAGCGCAACCCUUUCUGCCAGUUACUAACAGGCAAUGCUGAGGACUCUGGCGGUACUGCCAUCGUAAGAUGUGAGGAAGGUGGGGAUGACGUCAAAUCAGCACGGCCCUUACGUCCGGGGCUACACACGUGUUACAAUGGGGGGUACAGAAGGCAGCUUGCCGGCGACGGUUGGCCAAUCCCGAAAGCCCCUCUCAGUUCGGACUGGAGUCUGCAACCCGACUCCACGAAGCUGGAUUCGCUAGUAAUCGCGCAUCAGCCACGGCGCGGUGAAUACGUUCCCGGGCCUUGUACACACCGCCCGUCAAGCCAUGAAAGCCGGGAGUACCUGAAGUGCGUAACCGC